rnacentral:misc_RNA from 1 species
GAUGAAGAACGGAGCGAAAUGCGAUACUUGGUGUGAAUUGCAGAAUCCCGUGAACCAUCGAGUCUUUGAACGCAAGUUGCGCCCGAAGCCAUCAGGUUGAGGGCACGUCUGCCUGGGCGUCACAUAUCGUUGCCCAAUGCCUAUUGCAGUGCAAUAGGAAUUUCUAGGGCGAAUGAUGGCUUCCCGUGAGCGUUGUUGCCUCGCGGUUGGUUGAAAAUCGAGUCCUUGGUAGGGUGUGCCAUGGUAGAUGGUGGUCGAGUUAGAACGAUACCGAUCAUGUGCAUGCUCCCCAAAAUAUGGCCUCUAUGACCCACACGCGUCUUUUGACGCUCAUGACGAGACCUCAGGUCAGGCGGGGCUACCCGCUGAAUUUAAGCAUAUCAAUAAGCGGAGGA